CACUGAGUUUUGAAAUCUAUCUGCAUGUAGAAGGAAACGUUCUCUCUUUGCUUGGUCACAGAAGUGUGACCAUUUUGCUGAAGCCAAUUAAUAUUCUCCUUCAUAAGAGCCUUUUGAUGUCCAAGAAACCUAACAGAUCUUUUAAAUUAAAAUAAGCUGUUUUAUCUUGAAUGGGAAAUUCUCCACCUGCCAAAAAUUCUCCUUCAACCUCUGAAACCCCAAAACCACAGGCGAAGUAAGAGUUCAUAGACCAAGCCAGAUUGCCUCCCAGAUUCACCUGCUGUGAACAAAUAGCUGAUGACUGGCAGCACAAAGUCCAGGACCUCCAGGACAGCAGGGAGGCGGAGGACACUCUCGCCACUGUGGAGGGAGCAAAGAAGCGAUCAGGGGACGGAGCGAAGCAAGACAGGUCAAGGCUUCUCUGCACAGCACGUUGCAGUCCUGGCCAUGGUGCCUGGUGGUCAAGGCAAUUGGCGCUGGAGAAUGCUCUAGAACCCUGAGUUGCAUGGGAAAAAAAUCAGGAACGCCAUCGCCACAAACACUGAUGCAAUGUGCUGGAGAAUCAGCAAAAGGAGAAGGCGAAAUGAAAGCUGCAGCGGUAUCGUGUGCAAGGCAGGCCACGUGCAGCCACGCGUGUGAGCCGCUCACCCUUUGGCUGCAUGACGAGGCCGCACGAUGAGGGCACACAUAGAAGCUGAUCCCAGAGCACUGAGCAAGUGUCACUCGAUUCCAGUCAAAAGGCUUAUAUUUACGUGCUCAGCGUGUUACUUGUAUGUCAGGGAUGUUUGUCUGUGAUGUCAGUUCUUCUGAGAGAGCAUUGGUGGGGAGACCUUAGAGCUUCACAUACUGGGUUGGUGUGAAUUUCUUUCGGCCCAUGCUUGGGGCUGGACAGGCACCGGAAGAGGCUGUGCAGCAAGCAAGGACCCUCGGCCAUGAAAAGACUGAGGAUGCCACCAGCCCAGAGUCCCUGGGAAGCCAUCACAAUGUCACCAUCACAUCAAAGGCAGUGACAACUGGCUUCUCAUUAGGGCUCACUUGGGGCUUGAUGUCAUGCAAGAGGUGAUAGACCUUGUCAUGUUUCAUUCUCACGAUUACCUUCUGAAGUGACAGAAAUAUUUCUAGUUUACAGAGGAAGUAAAGGGAACCCAAAUCACAUAACUGAUGUGAUGCAGAGCCGGAGGGCAGAGGCGGGUGCCUGUGGCCUCUCAGUGAGCCCUGCACAUUUCAUCAAGCACCCUCAGACCUUGAUGCUGCUCUGAUAGUAAGUCCUGUCUGAGUGCCAC
rnacentral:lncRNA from 1 species